GGACCCGUGGCUCAGUGGUAGAGCAUGUGAUUCCAGAUCCACAAGGUCAUCCGUUCGAUCCGGGUCGGGUUCA
rnacentral:tRNA from 1 species